rnacentral:rRNA from 9 species
AAGGUCACGGCGAGACGAGCCGUUUAUCAUUACGAUAGGUGUCAAGUGGAAGUGCAGCGAUGUAUGCAGCUGAGGCAUCCUAACAGACCGAGAGAUUUGAAC